GGGAAGUGGGGGGGUGCUAAUACAUGCAAGUCGAACGCUUUGUGGUUCAACUGAUUUGAAGAGCUUGCUCAGAUAUGACGAUGGACAUUGCAAAGAGUGGCGAACGGGUGAGUAACACGUGGGAAACCUACCUCUUAGCAGGGGAUAACAUUUGGAAACAGAUGCUAAUACCGUAUAACAAUGACAACCGCAUGGUUGUUAUUUAAAAGAUGGUUCUGCUAUCACUAAGAGAUGGUCCCGCGGUGCAUUAGCUAGUUGGUAAGGUAAUGGCUUACCAAGGCGAUGAUGCAUAGCCGAGUUGAGAGACUGAUCGGCCACAAUGGGACUGAGACACGGCCCAUACUCCUACGGGAGGCAGCAGUAGGGAAUCUUCCACAAUGGGCGAAAGCCUGAUGGAGCAACGCCGCGUGUGUGAUGAAGGGUUUCGGCUCGUAAAACACUGUUGUAAGAGAAGAAUGACAUUGAGAGUAACUGUUCAAUGUGUGACGGUAUCUUACCAGAAAGGAACGGCUAAAUACGUGCCAGCAGCCGCGGUAAUACGUAUGUUCCAAGCGUUAUCCGGAUUUAUUGGGCGUAAAGCGAGCGCAGACGGUUAUUUAAGUCUGAAGUGAAAGCCCUCAGCUCAACUGAGGAAUUGCUUUGGAAACUGGAUGACUUGAGUGCAGUAGAGGAAAGUGGAACUCCAUGUGUAGCGGUGAAAUGCGUAGAUAUAUGGAAGAACACCAGUGGCGAAGGCGGCUUUCUGGACUGUAACUGACGUUGAGGCUCGAAAGUGUGGGUAGCAAACAGGAUUAGAUACCCUGGUAGUCCACACCGUAAACGAUGAGUGCUAGGUGUUUGAGGGUUUCCGCCCUUAAGUGCCGCAGCUAACGCAUUAAGCACUCCGCCUGGGGAGUACGACCGCAAGGUUGAAACUCAAAGGAAUUGACGGGGACCCGCACAAGCGGUGGAGCAUGUGGUUUAAUUCGAAGCAACGCGAAGAACCUUACCAGGUCUUGACAUCCCUUGACAACUCCAGAGAUGGAGCGUUCCCUUCGGGGACAAGGUGACAGGUGGUGCAUGGUUGUCGUCAGCUCGUGUCGUGAGAUGUUGGGUUAAGUCCCGCAACGAGCGCAACCCUUAUUACUAGUUGCCAGCAUUCAGUUGGGCACUCUAGUGAGACUGCCGGUGACAAACCGGAGGAAGGUGGGGAUGACGUCAAAUCAUCAUGCCCCUUAUGACCUGGGCUACACACGUGCUACAAUGGCGUAUACAACGAGUUGCCAACCCGCGAGGGUGAGCUAAUCUCUUAAAGUACGUCUCAGUUCGGAUUGUAGGCUGCAACUCGCCUACAUGAAGUCGGAAUCGCUAGUAAUCGCGGAUCAGCACGCCGCGGUGAAUACGUUCCCGGGUCUUGUACACACCGCCCGUCACACCAUGAGAGUUUGUAACACCCAAAGCCGGUGGGGUAACCUUCGGGAGCCAGCCGUCUAAGGUGAACAGGUG
rnacentral:rRNA from 1 species